AACGAACGCUGGCGGCAGGCCUAACACAUGCAAGUCGAGCGGCAGCGGGAAAGUAGCUUGCUACUUUUGCCGGCGAGCGGCGGACGGGUGAGUAAUGCCUGGGAAAUUGCCCAGUCGAGGGGGAUAACAGUUGGAAACGACUGCUAAUACCGCAUACGCCCUACGGGGGAAAGCAGGGGACCUUCGGGCCUUGCGCGAUUGGAUAUGCCCAGGUGGGAUUAGCUAGUUGGUGAGGUAAUGGCUCACCAAGGCGACGAUUCCUAGCUGGUCUGAGAGGAUGAUCAGCCACACUGGAACUGAGACACGGUCCAGACUCCUACGGGAGGCAGCAGUGGGGAAUUUUGCACAAUGGGGGAAACCCUGAUGCAGCCAUGCCGCGUGUGUGAAGAAGGCCUUCGGGUUGUAAAGCACUUUCAGCGAGGAGGAAAGGUUGUUGGCUAAUAUCCAACAGCUGUGACGUUACUCGCAGAAGAAGCACCGGCUAACUCCGUGCCAGCCGCCGCGGUAAAAC
rnacentral:rRNA from 1 species